AGGAGAGGGAACAUUUCUCUUUUUUAAUCAAAUGAUGUCACCUAAUGAGCACUCUGGCAUAUGCCUGCAUCGUCCAGCACGGCCACAGGAUACUAAUGGACACUGCACACUGACACGGCCCCACAGGGGGAACAAGAUCUGUAUCUUUUUUUAAUGUAAAGGAACACCUUCAGCACAUUUGGUAUGAGGAGUAAAGAAUCGUCUUUGAGCAUUGUCUGAAUGAGAGGACAUUGGACAGCAGAAAAAAAGAGAGGAAGAGAGAGAGGGGGGGGUGGGUUCAGGAAGGAGAGAAAAAGCAGACCAGUUACCGAAGUACUAAAGGACUAGGAACAGAGGUAGAGACAUAUGAGGAAGUACUCCAAA